rnacentral:rRNA from 1 species
UCCUGCUCCCAUGUGAAGUGUCUCAGACGAGUCGAGUUGUUUGGGAAUGCAGCUCAAAAUGGGUGGUAAAUUUCAUCUAAAGCUAAAUAUUGGCGAGAGACCGAUAGCGCACAAGUAGAGUGAUCGAAAGAUGAAAAGCACUUUGAAAAGAGAGUCAAAUAGUACGUGAAAUUGUUGAAAGGGAAGCGCUUGAGACUAGAUUCAGCUGACGGUCAUCAGCCAUGUUUUUAUGUGGUGCACUUGCCGUCGGUUGAGCCAGCAUCGGUUUUGAUGGCGGGAUAAAGGUUUUAGGAAUGUGGCUCUACCAUCUGGUGGAGUGUUAUAGCCUGAAGCGCAAUGUCGCCUGUCGGGACCGAGGACCGCGCUUAUGCUAGGAUGCUGGCUAAAAGGUCUUAAGCGGCCCGUCUUGAAACACGGACCAAGGAGUCUAACAUCUAUGCGAGUGUUCGGGUGGAAAACCCUUGCGCGUAAUGAAAGUGAACGGAGGUGGGAACCCCUAUGGGGUGCACCAUCGACCGAUCCUGAUGUUUACGGAAGGAUUUGAGUAGGAGCAUAGCUGUUGGGACCCGAAAGAUGGUGAACUAUGCCUGAAUAGGGUGAAGCCAGAGGAAACCUUGGUGGAAGCUCGCAGCGGUUCUGACGUGCAAAUCGAUCGUCAAAUUUGGGUAUAGGGGCGAAAGAG